CCUACGGGAGGCAGCAGUGGGGAAUAUUGCACAAUGGGGGAACCUUGAUGCAGCAACGCCGCGUGGGUGAAGAAGUACCCCGGUAUGUAAAGCCCUGUCAGCAGGGGAGAAAAUGACGGUACCUGACCAAGCAGCCCCGGCUAACUACGUGCCCGCAGCCGCGGUACUACGUAGGGGGCAAGCGUUAUCCGGAUUUACUGGGUGUAAAGGGAGCGUAGACGGCAAGGCAAGUCUGGAGUGAAAGCCCGUGGCCCAACCACGGGACUGCUUUGGAAACUGUGGUGCUGGAGUGCAGGAGGGGUAAGCGGAAUUCCUAGUGUAGCGGUGAAAUGCGUAGAUAUUAGGAGGAACACCGGUGGCGAAGGCGGCUUACUGGACUGUAACUGACGUUGAGGCUCGAAGGCGUGGGGAGCAAACAGGAUUAGAUACCCGAGUAGUC
rnacentral:rRNA from 1 species